CGAGCGCACCGAGACAGGUGUCUCAACCAGCUUCGAAACCUGGGGCCACGGGAACCCGUGGGCGGUUCGAUCCCGCUGCGCUCGGCCA
rnacentral:tRNA from 1 species